rnacentral:rRNA from 1 species
AUUGAACGCUGGCGGCAGGCCUAACACAUGCAAGUCGAGCGAGCGGCGGACGGGUGAGUAAUGUCUAGGAAACUCCCUGAUGGAGUGGGAUAACUACUGGAAACGGUAGCUAAUCCCCCAUACCAUCAGAUGUGCCCACAUGGGAUUAGCUAGUGGGGGGGGUAACGGCUCACCUAGGCGACGAUCCCUAGCUGGUCUGAGAGGAUGACCAGCCACACUGGAACUGAGACACGGUCCAGACUCCGACGGGAGGCAGCAGUGGGGAAUAUUGCACAAUGGGCGCAAGCCUGAUGCAGCCAUGCCGCGUGUGUGAAGAAGGCCUUCGGGUUGUAAAGCACUUUCAGCGGGGAGGCGUUACCCGCAGAAGAAGCACCGGCUAACUCCGUGCCAGCAGCCGCGGUAAUAC